GAUGAACGCUGGCGGCGUGCCUAAUACAUGCAAGUCGAGCGAACGGACGAGAAGCUUGCUUCUCUGAUGUUAGCGGCGGACGGGUGAGUAACACGUGGAUAACCUACCUAUAAGUCUGGGAUAACUUCGGGAAACCGGAGCUAAUACCGGAUAAUAUUUUGAACCGCAUGGUUCAAAAGUGAAAGACGGUCUUUCUGUCACUUAUAGAUGGAUCCGCGCUGCAUUAGCUAGUUGGUAAGGUAACGGCUUACCAAGGCAACGAUGCAUAGCCGACCUGAGAGGGUGAUCGGCCACACUGGAACUGAGACACGGUCCAGACUCCUACGGGAGGCAGCAGUAGGGAAUCUUCCGCAAUGGGCGAAAGCCUGACGGAGCAACGCCGCGUGAGUGAUGAAGGUCUUCGGAUCGUAAAACUCUGUUAUUAGGGAAGAACAUAUGUGUAAGUAACUGUGCACAUCUUGACGGUACCUAAUCAGAAAGCCACGGCUAACUACGUG
rnacentral:rRNA from 1 species